CCCAGACUCCUACGGGAGGCAGCAGUGGGGAAUAUUGCACAAUGGGGGAAACCCUGAUGCAGCGACGCCGCGUGAGUGAAGAAGUAUUUCGGUAUGUAAAGCUCUAUCAGCAGGGAAGAAAAUGACGGUACCUGAUUAAGAAGCCCCGGCUAACUACGUGCCAGCAGCCGCGGUAAUACGUAGGGGGCAAGCGUUAUCCGGAUUUACGGGGUGUAAAGGGAGCGUAGACGGUGAUGCAAGUCAGAAGUGAAAGCCCGGGGCUCAACUCCGGGACUGCUUUUGAAACUGUGUGACUGGAGUGCAGGAGAGGUAAGCGGAAUUCCUGGUGUAGCGGUGAAAUGCGUAGAUAUCAGGAGGAACACCAGUGGCGAAGGCGGCUUACUGGACAGUAACUGACGCUGAGGCGCGAAAGCGUGGGGAGCAAACAGGAUUAGAUACCCGCGUAC
rnacentral:rRNA from 1 species